rnacentral:rRNA from 1 species
AGAGUUUGAUCAUGGCUCAGGAUGAACGCUAGCGGCAGGCUUAACACAUGCAAGUCGAGGGGUAACAGGGAAGCUUGCUUCUGCUGACGACCGGCGCACGGGUGCGUAACGCGUAUACAAUCUACCUUAUACUGGAGAAUAGCCCUAAGAAAUUGGGAUUAAUGCUCCAUAGUAUUUUACUAUCGCAUGAUAGUAUUAUUAAAGCUCCGGCGGUAUAAGAUGAGUAUGCGUGAUAUUAGUUAGUUGGUGAGGUAGCGGCUCACCAAGACUUCGAUAUCUAGGGGGUCUGAGAGGACUAUCCCCCACACUGGUACUGAGACACGGACCAGACUCCUACGGGAGGCAGCAGUGAGGAAUAUUGGACAAUGGGCGCAAGCCUGAUCCAGCCAUGCCGCGUGAAGGAAGAAUGCCCUAUGGGUUGUAAACUUCUUUUAUUUGGGAAGAAACCUUUCUACGUGUAGAAAGCUGACGGUACCAAACGAAUAAGGACCGGCUAACUCCGUGCCAGCAGCCGCGGUAAUACGGAGGGUCCAAGCGUUAUCCGGAAUCAUUGGGUUUAAAGGGUUCGCAGGCGGUCAAUUAAGUCAGUGGUGAAAUCUCGGGGCUCAACUCCGAAACUGCCAUUGAUACUGAUUGACUUGAAUUAAGUUGGAGUAGGCGGAAUGUGUAGUGUAGCGGUGAAAUGCUUAGAUAUUACACAGAACACCGAUAGCGAAGGCAGCUUACUAAACUUAUAUUGACGCUCAUGAACGAAAGCGUGGGGAGCGAACAGGAUUAGAUACCCUGGUAGUCCACGCCGUAAACUAUGGUUACUCGAUAUUGGCGAUAUACGGUCAGUGUCUAAGCGAAAGUGAUAAGUAACCCACC